rnacentral:rRNA from 1 species
CCGUUCAGGGGUAAACCUGAGAAACCCGAAAGAUCGAAUGGGGAGAUUCAUCGUCAGCGGUCUUGGUACGUGUGCGGUAUCGCGAUGCCGGAGAUUUCGGUCUCCGGGCACGCGUCCGCAUAUUUUUACUGCCUGGAUCGUCGGCGUGCACUUCUCCCCUAGUAGGACGUCGCGACCCGUUGGGUGUCGGUCUACGGCCUGGGUGGUAAGACUGUCUCGUGUGCGCUUCGCGGCGUUACGCGGUUCAGACCCCCGGUUGCCCGACCGGCUGCCCGGCGGUACUCACACGGUAUCUGGCCGCAAAUAUUCGAACUGCGUCCGGCCCGUCGCAAGCGAGACAAGUGUUUCCCGGUUGUACGGAUCCAAUGCCGUCACCGGGCCUUGUCAGCUGUUGGCCGACGGUGUCCUGGGACAGGCUAAUACGAUUAUGAUACCGGUCGGCGACGCUACUGCUUUGGGUACUUUCAGGACCCGUCUUGAAACACGGACCAAGGAGUCUAACAUGUGCGCGAGUCAUUGGGUAAUAUUAAACCUAAAGGCGCAAUGAAAGUGAAGGUCGGCCUCGCGCCGACCGAGGGAGGAUGGGCCGCGUCACGAUGCGGUCCCGCACUCCCGGGGCGUCUCGUUCUCAUUGCGAGAAGAGGCGCACCCAGAGCGUACACGUUGGGACCCGAAAGAUGGUGAACUAUGCCUGGUCAGGACGAAGUCAGGGGAAACCCUGAUGGAGGUCCGUAGCGAUUCUGACGUGCAAAUCGAUCGUCGGAACUGGGUAUAGGGGCGAAAGACUAAUCGAACCAU